rnacentral:rRNA from 1 species
CCUACGGGAGGCAGCAGUGAGGAAUAUUGGUCAAUGGACGCAAGUCUGAACCAGCCAUGCCGCGUGCAGGAAGACGGCUCUAUGAGUUGUAAACUGCUUUUGUACGAGGGUAAACGCAGAUACGCGUAUCUGUCUGAAAGUAUCGUACGAAUAAGGAUCGGCUAACUCCGUGCCAGCAGCCGCGGUAAUACGGAGGAUUCAAGCGUUAUCCGGAUUUAUUGGGUUUAAAGGGUGCGUAGGCGGUCGGAUAAGUUAGAGGUGAAAUCCGGAGGCUCAACUUCAGAAGUGCAUCUGAUACUGUUAGGCUAGAGUGUAGUUGAGGUAGGCGGAAUGUAUGGUGUAGCGGUGAAAUGCUUAGAGAUCAUGCAGAACACCGAUUGCGAAGGCAGCUUACCAAGCUACUUCUGACGUUGAGGCACGAAAGCGUGGGGAGCAAACAGGAUUAGAUACCCUUGUAGUC